UCCGGGGGCAGGAGGUUCGACCCGAGCGAAGCGAGAGAACGUUGCGUCAGCAACGGCCCGCAGGGCGAGCCACGCAGUGGCGAGUCAUCCUCUAUCACCGACCA
rnacentral:sRNA from 1 species